rnacentral:sRNA from 1 species
GCCGGGCGUGGUGGCACGUGCCUGUAAUCCCAGCUACUCGGGAGGCUGAGGCAGGAGAAUCACUUUAACCCAGGAAGUGGAGGUUGCAGUGAGCCAAGAUUGCACCACUGCACUCCAGCCUGGGUGACAGAGCGAGACCCUGUCUCAA